CCUGCUGGCAGUGCCCUGGCGUCUUCUAGGUUUAUGGAGAUAGUCCCUCAGCUCAAAAUAGUUGUUGUCUGACCCUCCCAGGAGGGAAGGAAAACAUCUACCCACCAAGAACUGCAUGCAUUACAUGAUAUAAUGUUGCUUUCUUCUCCUUGUAGUACAUCUAGCCGCAGCAAAACCUUUCUAGACUAUGGUACCUGAAGCCAACCUCCUGCACCCUUGCACUGCAUUGCAGCCGCUUCCAGGUGCAGAGCAGAACGGAGGUGGGGUCAGGAUUUAAGCUAGCUGGAAGGCAAAGCUCUCCCAUCGAAAGACCUCUGGCCAGCACACCUCUCCACUCUUCUUCUUUAGCAGGAUUGUUUUCUGUGCAAUAAUUUAACGUCUCUGAGUCUUGUUUGGAAAUCUAUGAUGUAGUGACGGUUAGUUCAUGCAUCACCUUCGUAUUUCUGGACCAUCUUUAAUUAGUCAUUUCAUAGUAUGUCGCAUAGCCCUUGUGACUUAUAAAGACCUCAUCUUCUCUUGGGAGAAAGUUGCUUCUAGGGUAAAAGCACUCAUGGGAGUCACCCAGAUGCCACUGUAACCUCAGCAAGCAUCCCAGCCUGAAGCCCUGGACAUUGCCUACAGUCAAUACCUCUCUCCUGACAAUAGGCAGGAACAGCUCUGCAACCAUUCUCGGCACUGAAGAAGCUACAGAAUUUUGAGACCAUCACCCCUUUUCCCUUAGAUAUUUGGAGAGGGGAGAGAUGACAUGGGCAUGGUACCCCCAGAAACUUGGGCAAAUUAUUGUCAGGGGGGUUCCUUUGCUCCCUUACAUCCUCAUGACUCUUAACCUAAAAACAUCUAAUGACCCCUAUAGGAUCCUGAGAUGAUUGUGCUCCUUUGGUCCUCCUUUAGAUUUAAGAUGGACAAGAGAGAUGCAUCUCCAGGCCAUACCUCAAUUUCAUCGGGCUAAAACCAAGGAAUCUUUUAUGAGGGUCAUUCCCUAUGUCUCCAGGCAAACCAAACCCCUGACCAAAUGCCUGAGGGUUUACUACUCAAGGUAUAGGAAGGGACUAUAGCUGGAAUAUAUAUAUAUAUAUAUAUAUAUAUCCUAGCUGGAAAGGACCAUAUGUUGUUUUUUGCUUUUAUGCUGAUCAUACAGAGAUAGUUCGCCUAGUAAGCCUUUGUCUAGGAUUGCAUUAAUACUUUCCAGCUAUGGUCCUUCACCUCCUGGUGAAUAUCAUAUCAAACUCUGAUUCCUACCAAAUCCCCUUAUGAGGAUAUGAUAGCAUGAGGAAGAUUCCACAUGUAUAGCAGAAGUAGGGAAUGAAGGACCAGCCCUGGAACCUAUUUUUUCCCUGAACCCCUUGCCCCUAGAGCCCCUGCAGUCAUACCCUAGAAUGUGCUAGGAACUGAUAAGGACCCCAACCCCAGGUGUUCCUGUCACACACCCCUUCCACGAACUGAUAAUGACCCUUAACCCUAAGGACCUAACCCUCUCCAGUAUUCUGAUAAGAUAUCCUCUUCUGCAACUCAAACCUACCCUAUAUAAUCCUUUUCUCCCCUUAGUUCAGAGUCCCAUCUGCCUUGGAGGCAGUGGCACCCAAGCUCGAGCUUGUAAUAAAGCAGUACCUCUUGCUUUUAUAUUAUCCGAUGUGCCUCCUAAUUUGGGAAACCAGAACCGGGUCGAACAGUUACUAAUGCUUUUUUCUAUUAAUUUCUAAUUAAUUAUAUCAACAUUCAUUAAGGAUAUUGGCAAAUAUAUAUAUUUAUAUAGUUUUCUUUCUUUGCUUUUUCUCUUCUUAGUUUCGAUAUCAAGAUCAUUUUUGUAACAUAGAAGGAAUUUUGGUAGGGUCUCUUUUUUAUUUUGGCAAACUAUUUAAUAUUGCAACUGCUUAUUCUUGAAUGCUUGAUAGAACUUUCUUGUAAAUCCAUCUAGUCAUGGCAAUGUUUUUCUUUAGGAGUUUAUGAAUAGUUCAAUUUUUUUCUGAGACUGAGCAAUUUAAACUCUAGAUUCUUAUUCAGAUAACUAGGUAUUUUAUAUUUUAAUAUUCAUUGCAUUUUAAUUAAUUUUGCUGGCAUAUACUUAAGCAAAAUAAUUUCCUUUACUUCUUUAUUUGUAAUGAGUUCCCCUUUUUCACUUUUGAUAUUGGUAAUUCUGUUUAUCUCUUUGAUUUUUAGAAUUUCUAUUUUGGUAUUUAGUUGAGGUGUUUUGAUUUGUUGCUUCUCAAGUUGUUUUAGUUGGAUAUCUAAUUCUUUGAUCUGCUUUUUUCCCCCUUUCUUUUAUUAAGAAAAAUGUUUGGAGAUAUAAAUUUUCCCCUUCAAAUUGCUUUGGUUGCAUUCCAGAAGUUUGGGUAUGAAGAUGUAAUUUUUUUUACUGAAUUUUUAAUUUUUAUGAUUUGUUCUUUGACUCACUACUUUUUAGGAUUAUUUAGCCUCUCUUUAUGUUUGAUUCCUUUAUUUAGAAGCAUUUUAUUGUCAUUUUAAUUUUGUUGUAGGCAGUAAAAGAAGUGCUUAAUAUAACUGCUUUUCUACAUUUACUUAUGAUGUUUUUAAUGCCCUAGCACAUAGUCCAUUUUUAGAAAAGUACCAGGUAUAGCUGAUAUAAUGAUUUUUAUUUCCAUGUAUUAAGUGACUAAGAUCAAAUCUUAAUUUUCUAAAAUUCUAUUCAUGGCCUUAACUUAUGUUUUUGUUAGAUUUGUCUAGGUCUAAAUGGGGCUCAUUAAAAUCCUUAGCUGUAAUAGUUUUGCUCUCUUUCUCCCUAUAAUUCAUUUAACUUUUCCUUCCAAUAUGUAGAUAUGACAUUUGGCACAUAAAUAUAUCAAGUAUUGAUUCUUCAUUAUCUAUAGUACUUUAAAACAUGAUGUAAUUUUUUUGGCUUAUCUUUUUAAACCUUUAUUUUUGGUUUGUGUAAGAUUGAUUGGUAUCUUUACUUCUUUAAUUAGCCUGAAAAAAAUAAAUUUCACAUCAACCCAUCA